CUUUUCGAGGUAGGAGUCGACUCCUGUGAGGUAUGGUGCUGGGUGCAGAUGCAGUGUGGCUCUGGAUAGCACCUUAUGGACAGUUGUGUCCCCAAGGAAGGAUGAGAAUAGCUACUGAAGUCCUAAAGAGCAAGCCUAACUCAAGCCAUUGGCACACAGGCAUUAGACAGAAAGCUGGAAGUUGAAAUGGUGGAGUCCAACUUGCCUGGACCAGCUUAAUGGUUCUGCUCCUGGUAACGUUUUUAUCCAUGGAUGACUUGCUUGGGUAAGGACAUGAAGACAGUUCCUGUCAUACCUUUUAAAGGUAUGGAGAGUCGGCUUGACUACACUGUGUGGAGCAAGUUUUAAAGAAGCAAAGGACUCAGAAUUCAUGAUUGAAGAAAUGCAGACCUGUUAUCCUAAACUAGGGUUUUUAAUGACCACAACAAGCAAGCAUGCAGCUUACUGCUUGAAAGGGUCUUGCCUCACCCAAGCUAGAGUGCAGUGGCCUUUGAAGCUUACUACAGCCUCAAACUUCUGGGCUCAAGUGAUCCUCAGCCUCCCAGUGGUCUUUGUAGACUGCCUGAUGGAGUCUCAUGGCACAAGAAGAUUAAAACAGUGUCUCCAAUUUUAAUAAAUUUUUGCAAUCCA
rnacentral:lncRNA from 1 species